rnacentral:rRNA from 1 species
UACGUAGGUGGCGAGCGUUAUCCGGAAUGAUUGGGCGUAAAGGGUGCGUAGGUGGCAGAUCAAGUCUGGAGUAAAAGGUAUGGGCUCAACCCGUACUGGCUCUGGAAACUGAUCAGCUGGAGAACAGAAGAGGACGGCGGAACUCCAUGUGUAGCGGUAAAAUGCGUAGAUAUAUGGAAGAACACCGGUGGCGAAGGCGGCCGUCUGGUCUGGAUUCUGACACUGAAGCACGAAAGCGUGGGGAGCAAAUAGG